rnacentral:rRNA from 1 species
GAUGAACGCUGGCGGCGUGCCUAAUACAUGCAAGUCGAGCGAACAGACGAGGAGCUUGCUCCUCUGACGUUAGCGGCGGACGGGUGAGUAACACGUGGAUAACCUACCUAUAAGACUGGGAUAACUUCGGGAAACCGGAGCUAAUACCGGAUAAUAUAUUGAACAGCAUGGUUCAAUAGUGAAAGACGGUUUUGCUGUCACUUAUAGAUGGAUCCGCGCCGCAUUAGCUAGUUGGUAAGGUAACGGCUUACCAAGGCGACGAUGCGUAGCCGACCUGAGAGGGUGAUCGGCCACACUGGAACUGAGACACGGUCCAGACUCCGACGGGAGGCAGCAGUAGGGAAUCUUCCGCAAUGGGCGAGAGCCUGACGGAGCAACGCCGCGUGAGUGAUGAAGGUCUUCGGAUCGGAGAACUCUGUUAUUAGGGAAGAACAAAUGUGUAAGUAACUAUGCACGUCUUGACGGUACCUAAUCAGAAAGCCACGGCUAACUACGUG